UUUUAGCGAGCGCACAAACUGCUUGAUGAGGUAGUCUCCCUCCGUUCCAGCAUUGUUGCAGGUUUCAAUGAAAUGGGCAACAUGUUAUUUCAGGUUUCCCUUUCCAUCGAACUGCAUGAAUUUUGGCGGCUGAUAACCCUUCGGCAUCUUCAAAACGUCAAUCUUCUUGGAGUAAGGCUUUGAGUAUAGUACGGAGUCCUGUGAGCUUCCUUCGUACUGUGCCUUGAUGGUGCUGGCGAUCAUCUCCUGCAGCU
rnacentral:lncRNA from 1 species